GAUGAACGCUAGCGGCAGGCUUAACACAUGCAAGUCGAGGGGCAGCACGGGUAGCAAUACCUGGUGGCGACCGGCGCAAGGGUGCGUAACGCGUGAGCAACAUGCCCUAUACAGGGGGAUAAUCCAGGGAAACUUGGUCUAAUAUCCCAUAGUAUUUAGAGGAGGCAUCUUCUAUAAAUUAAAGCUUCGGUGGUAUAGGAUUGGCUCGCGUGACAUUAGCUAGAUGGUGAGGUAACGGCUCACCAUGGCAAUGAUGUCUAGGGGUUCUGAGAGGAAGGCCCCCCACACUGGGACUGAGACACGGCCCAGACUCCUACGGGAGGCAGCAGUGAGGAAUAUUGGACAAUGGAUGGAAAUCUGAUCCAGCCAUGCCGCGUGCAGGAAGACAGCCCUAUGGGGUUGUAAACUGCUUUUAUAUGGGAGCAAUAAGGUCUACGUGUAGACUGAUGAGAGUACCAUAUGAAUAAGC
rnacentral:rRNA from 1 species